GUGCUUGCUUCGGCAGCACAUAUACUAAAAUUGGAACAAUACAGAGAAGAUUAACAUGGCCCCUGCACAAGGAUGACACGCAAAUUUGUGAAGCAUUCCAUAUUUUU
rnacentral:snRNA from 2 species